CACGAGGAUUUUUAUCUUUGGAACCGAUUGGUCUGCCACGCUUCAUGCGUGGUUGAGACUCGUUUGCAAUAUGAGAUAGUCCAACAUGAACAUUCAAUUUUAUUGGAGCAUUAGCAGCUGGUAUGUAUGAUUUAGUCACACUUUUUGGAUCAGUGAAUGCAUUUGGCAGUUGGUUUGCUAGACUUUGCAAAUGAAUUAUCUUUUGAACUUCCAGUUCACAUUGUUUAGUUCGAGGAUCAAGAUGAGACAAUGAAGGUUCAUU
rnacentral:lncRNA from 1 species